GUGCUUGCUUCGGUAGCACAUAUACUAACAUUGGAAUGAUAUAGAGAAGAUUAGCAUGGCACCUGUGCAAGAAUGAUACUCAAAUUCGUGAAGCAUUCCAUAUUUUU
ensembl:snRNA U6 U6 spliceosomal RNA